rnacentral:rRNA from 1 species
CAAAGUGACUCUCGGCAACGGAUCAUCUCGGCAGUCUCGUUACGAUGAAGAACGUAGCGAAAUGCGAUACUUAGUGUGAAUUGCAGAAUCCCGUGAAUCAUCGAGUCUUUGAACGCAAUUUGCGCCCGAGACCUCGGUCGAGGGCACGUUUGUCUGGGCGUCGCAU